GUGGGGAAUCUUGCGCAAUGGGCGAAAGCCUGACGCAGCCAUGCCGCGUGAAUGAUGAAGGUCUUAGGAUUGUAAAAUUCUUUCACCGGGGACGAUAAUGACGGUACCCGGAGAAGAAGCCCCGGCUAACUUCGUGCCAGCAGCCGCGGUAAUACGAAGGGGGCUAGCGUUGCUCGGAAUUACUGGGCGUAAAGGGCGCGUAGGCGGACAGUUUAGUCAGAGGUGAAAGCCCAGGGCUCAACCUUGGAAUUGCCUUUGAUACUGGCUGGCUUGAGUACGGGCGAGGUGAGUGGAACUCCGAGUGUAGAGGUGAAAUUCGUAGAUAUUCGGAAGAACACCAGUGGCGAAGGCGACUCACUGGCCCAAUACUGACGCUGAGGCGCGAAAGCGUGGGGAGCAAACAGGAUUAGAAACCCCUGUAGUCC
rnacentral:rRNA from 1 species